AGCUUUGCGCAGUGGCAGUAUCGUAGCCUAUGAGGUUUAUCCGAGGCGCGAUUAUUGCUAGUUGAAAACUUUACCCAAUACCCCGCCUUGACGACUUGAAAUAUAGUCGGCAAUGGCAAUUUUUGACGGUCUCUAGGGAGA
ensembl:snRNA U4 U4 spliceosomal RNA